GCCUUCAUAGCUCAGUGGCAGAGCGCCUGUCUAGUAAACAGGAGGCCGAGAGUUCAAUUCUCUCUGAAGGCA